rnacentral:rRNA from 1 species
AUUGAACGCUGGCGGCAGGCCUAACACAUGCAAGUCGAGCGAGCGGCGGACGGGUGAGUAAUGUCUGGGAAACUGCCCGAUGGAGGGGGAUAACCACCGGAAACGGUAGUUAAUACCGCAUACCAUCAGAUGUGCCCAGAUGGGAUUAGCCAGUAGGUGGGGUAACGGCUCACCUAGGCGAAGUUCCCUAGCUGGGCUGAGGGGAUGACCCGCCACACUGUAACUGAGACACGGUCCAGACUCCUACGGGAGGCAGCAGUGGGGAAUAUUGCACAAUGGGCGCAAGCCUGAUGCAGCCAUGCCGCGUGUGUGAAGAGGGCCUUCGGGUUGUAAAGCACUUUCAGCGGGGAGGCGUUACCCGCAGAAGAAGCACCGGCUAACUCCGUGCCAGCCGCCGCGGUAAUAC